rnacentral:rRNA from 1 species
CCUACGGGUGGCAGCAGUAGGGAAUAUUGCUCAAUGGGGGAAACCCUGAAGCAGCAACGCCGCGUGGAGGAUGAAGGUUUUCGGAUUGUAAACUCCUUUUGUUAGAGAAGAUAAUGACGGUAUCUAACGAAUAAGCACCGGCCAACUCCGUGCCAGCAGCCGCGGUAAUACGGAGGGUGCAAGCGUUACUCGGAAUCACUGGGCGUAAAGAGCGCGUAGGCGGGAUAGCAAGUCAGAUGUGAAAUCCUAGGGCUUAACCAUAGAACUGCAUUUAAUACUGUUAUUCUAGAGUAUGGGAGAGGUAGGUGGAAUUCUUGGUGUAGGGGUAAAAUCCGUAGAGAUCAAGAGGAAUACUCAUUGCGAAGGCGACCUGCUAGAACAUAACUGACGCUGAUGCGCGAAAGCGUGGGGAGCAAACAGGAUUAGAUACCCCAGUAGUC